CCCUUAGAUGUUCUGGGCGGCCCGCGCACUACAUUGGCACUAACAAAGAGAUCCUAGAUUGAAUUCUUUGGGGUAUUCUUCUAAAUGGUGUCGUGACUGGGAUAAAUCCUUGUAAUUAUUGGUUUUGAACGAGGAAUUCCUUGUAAUCGCGGUUUAUCAGCUCGCGUUGAAUGCGUCCCUGCCCUUUGUACACACCGCCCGUCGCUCCUACCGAUGGAUCGUCCGGUGAAGCUCACGGAGUGACUGUUCACGCAACGGUUUACGAAGUGAAAUGGACCUCACGAUUUAGAGGAAGGAGAAGUCGUAACA
rnacentral:rRNA from 1 species